UACAGAGGUCCCGAGCGUUGUUCGGAUUCAUUGGGCGUAAAGGGUGCGUAGGCGGCGGGGCAAGUCUGAUGUGAAAUCCCGGGGCUCAACCCCCGGAACUGCAUUGGAUACUGCCUUGCUUGAGUACUGGAGAGGGAACUGGAAUUUACGGUGUAGCAGUGAAAUGCGUAGAGAUCGUAAGGAAGGCCAGUGGCGAAGGCGAGUUCCUGGACAGUGACUGACGCUGAGGCACGAAAGCGUGGGUAGCAAACAGG
rnacentral:rRNA from 1 species